AUGAUAGAAGUGUUGACAUUCUUCAAUCACCGGCAUACCUCAGGGACGAUCGAAAAAGCAACCCAAGAGGAAUGAAGGGACCAAAGUGAAAGGUGUUUCACAGAAACUUACACAGUUUAACAGAAACGGGUUUACUGCUAGAUCCCCAAUCCAGCAUACUAUGAUUCCUUGACUGAGCUUGGGAAUUACUAGUCAGAAGACUUCGAUGGGAGCA
rnacentral:lncRNA from 1 species